GGUACCUCUUCUACUCUUCCCUUUGAGUCGCUUCAUCCAGAUUCUUGGGGAAACGUUUUGGCUGUUUGAAAUGUGACGCUGCGUUAUAUUGUGAAUCUCAUCCAAUUCUGCCGACAGCUGGUCGUUCUCAUCAAGAAGGCAUCUGAAUCAGAUGAAUCGUCACAAUCAUAUACCCAUCCAUGGCUAUCAGAACAAGGCAGGACUUCUUUAUGGCUAUCAGAACAAGGCAGGACUUCUUUAUGGCUAUCGGUAUCGGAACAAGGCAGGACUUCUUUAUGGCUAUCAGAACAAGGCAGUACUUCUUUAUGGCUAUCAGAACAAGGUAGGACUUCUUUAUGGUGCUCGGAACAAGGCAGGACUUCCUCACCAAGCCGAAUGAGUGAUAAAGCUACAUCAUUUUCCCCUCCACAUCUAGACACACUCUCGGUGCAUUCAUUAUCACUUGCAUCUCCAUUCCGUGCAUCUUCUAUGUACCGAUCAACCUAUGUACAAGUCAUUAGGAAUGACAAAUUUAUUAGUAUAUCCAAAUAAACCGCGGAAAUAAUAUCUGCAAAUUCAAAUGAUGAAUGAUAUCAUCUCGUCACUUCCAACUCUACUACAAAGCAUAAUUAGGGCCUGUUUGGGAGGGAGAUUGUGCAUUGUGAUUGUGCAUUUUCCUAAUUUUUCCGUUUGGGAGGUGUACUGUGAGAAUGAAUUCUCUCACAAUGCAUUAUGAAAACUACACUUUAGAGGCACAAUCUGAGAAUCAGCCCUGGAGGAGCUUUUCCAUUGUCAUUUUGGAUUAUCUUCCCAAAUUCAUAAUCUAUUUUGGGCAUUAUCCUCAAAAUACUCAUUCAUAAUCUAUUUUGAGCAUUAUCCUCCCAAACACUACGAUAGAGACCCAUCAUUUAAAUUUUUUAACUUUUAACUUUUAUAUGUGAUUGAGCCUAUUAAUGUGGAUAAUGUUUUGGGGUCAAAGUGAAAUUGAAUAUUAGUGAUGGCAGUUGAUGAAGUGUUUUAGUGGUUGAGGGGUGUGAAGUGCAAUUUAACCUAUUUAUAUAAAAAAAAAAUCUGGACCAGGAGAACAUUUGUUUCCCCAUUUGUUUUUCUUCCCAGUACGUUCUCUCUCUCGUCUCUCACACACUCCCUCCCUCCCCCACUCUUGAAUCUUCUUUAACACUUCAAAUCCAUGAAAGCCCAACACAAAUUCAAGAUAUCCUCGUGACCUAGACCUUGGGAGUCGCGUGAUCAAGCUUGGAGGGAGUUUCCUUGGUGGGUUUCAAGCUUGGAACAUCUAGGGCUUGGUUGGAUCUUUGGUAGCCCAUUUAGGGCCCUAUCGGUAGCACCUGGGAAACUUUGGGGUGUGGAUUGUAAGGUACAAAUCAAGGAUCUAAGCAUGGAGUGUGUGAUGUGCAUUGAAGAACAUUUUUGAAAGCUCACAUAGAAGAGUUGCUUAGUCAUCUUGUGUAAAACCCGUUUUGAGAUGAGAAUGUAACCUUAUUAUUAAUUCUUUCGACUUAGGAGGAAUGUAAAGAUAGUAAGAUACUCAAAUUCUUUUCUCUUUUGAUACUUAUGGAAUAUAGUGGUAUGAUCCCUUGGAUGUACAUUUUGAAAAAACAUUGGUUUGUGGAAUGACAUGGGCAUGUCUGUUAUGGGUAUUACGUAUGGGGAUGAUGAUGAUGAUAUUU